UACGAAGGGGGCGAGCGUUGUUCGGAAUUACUGGGCGUAAAGGGCGCGUAGGCGGCCGAUCAAGUCAGAUGUGAAAGUCCUGGGCUUAACCUGGGGACUGCAUUUGAUACUGAUUGGCUUGAAUGCAGGAGAGGAUAGCGGAAUUCCCAGUGUAGAGGUGAAAUUCGUAGAUAUUGGGAGGAACACCGAUGGCGAAGGCAGGUCUCUGGGCCAUAACUGACGCUGAGAAGCGAAAGCAUGGGGAGCGAACAGG
rnacentral:rRNA from 1 species